AUGUGCUCCUCGGCCGCAAAGAUUAUCGCAUCUCUAAGUCUUCCUAUGUAGAAGGGAAUCUGCCAAGACCUACCAUGCCCAUGUCGAACAUUAUUAACAUCUUUGCUUCUAAAGGUUUCAAUAUCCAAGAAAUGGUGGCGUUGAGUGGCGCACACACUAUAGGCUUCUCUCACUGCAAGGAGUUCACCAAUUACAUAUACAAUGAUACCCAUUACAAUCCAAGAUUUGCUCAGGGGCUGCAGAAGGCCUGUGCAGACUAUCCCAAGAAUCCAACUUUGUCAGUCUUCAAUGAUAUAAUGACCCCAAACAAGUUUGACAACUUGUAUUUCCAGAAUUUGCCUAAAGGGUUGGGGCUAUUAGAGUCAGAUCAUGGGUUGUAUAACGAUCCAAGGGCCAGGCCCUAUGUAGAGAUGUACGCCAAGGAUCAGAACAAGUUCUUUCAAGACUUUGCUAGAGCAAUGGAGAAGCUUAGUGUUUAUGGAGUCAAGACUGGAAGGAGAGGUGAGAUUAGGCGCAGGUGNUGAUGCUAUCAAUUGAAAAUUUGAAAUUUCUUUUAUUUUUUUUUUCUCAAAUUGUUUGUGAUUGAGGGCAGAGAAGAGAAGAGAAGUAAAGAGACUAUGGGUGAUGAUGAUGGGAGAUAUUGGUG
rnacentral:misc_RNA from 1 species